CUACGGGAGGCAGCAGUAGGGAAUCUUCCACAAUGGACGAAAGUCUGAUGGAGCAACGCCGCGUGAGUGAUGAAGGUUUUCGGAUCGUAAAACUCUGUUGUUAAAGAAGAACAAGUGUUAGAGUAACUGUUAACACUUUGACGGUAUUUAACCAGAAAGCCACGGCUAACUACGUGCCAGCAGCCGCGGUAAUACGUAGGUGGCAAGCGUUGUCCGGAUUUAUUGGGCGUAAAGCGAGCGCAGGCGGUUUUGUAAGUCUGCUGUGAAAGCCCUCAGCUCAACUGAGGAAGUGCAGUGGAAACUACAAAACUUGAGUACAGAAGAGGAAAGUGGAACUCCAUGUGUAGCGGUGAAAUGCGUAGAUAUAUGGAAGAACACCAGUGGCGAAGGCGGCUUUCUGGUCUGUUACUGACGCUGAGGCUCGAAAGCAUGGGUAGCGAACAGGAUUAGAUACCCUGGUAGUCCAUGCCGUAAACGAUGAAUACUAGGUGUUGGAGGGUUUCCGCCCUUCAGUGCCGCAGCUAACGCAUUAAGUUCCCGCCUGGGGAGUACGACCGCAAGGUUGAAACUCAAAGNAAUUGACGGGGGCCNGCNNAAGUGGUG
rnacentral:rRNA from 2 species